rnacentral:tRNA from 1 species
CGGGGCGUGGCGCAGUCCGGUUAGCGCACCUGCUUUGGGAGCAGGGGGUCGCCGGUUCAAAUCCGGCCGCCCCGACUA